CUAGGGACUUCUACCAGCCCGGAGUUCUCUGGAUAUGAAUAUCAAAUCGGAGCACACAUCCAGCACUUCUAAAAAUGUUCUCAAAUUCUGCCUCUUCAGUGCGCAGUUGCCUAGAUGGAUGACCACAGGUCUUGUGGACAGGAAUUCCAGCCUCAUUACUGUACCCCCUUGCUGAGGGCCUGACCUCUCUUUUAAUUAGUGAGUUUCUGGGUUAGGCCACUGUCUCAGGCAGCAAGAUUUAUCGUAUCUACUCUUCUAUCAUCCAUCACAACAGUUCUGGCAUUUCACCUUAGUGUGGCUGUAGUUUUCUCCAAAGUUCUACUAGUCGUUUUACCACCAUAAUGGAGGCACCCCCCUGGAGCCCCUGCCAGGAUGGCGAGUCAUCUCUCACCUCAGGCUGCUUCCACGAAAGUGUGCUCACUCUUCUCCAACUUAAUGUUCCCUCUCCUGUGACCUGUCACCCCCAAGUCCAGCCAUAAGCAGUCUCAGAUUGCCUGAUGCACAUUGCUCUGGUCCUGCAGUCCCAGGAGAGCGUCAUCCCGUCUUUAUCUAUCAAACAGCUCCUGAUGCGUGUUAUCCUAACUGACCCAGCUGAGAGCCAUCAAAUAGCGUCCUGCUCACAAUCAAUGCCAUUUCUGCAUUUCUGAAAGCCUGGGCUAUUGCAGCUCUCCCUGUCACAGCCCUUCGAGUUCAUCACCAGUGAAAG
rnacentral:lncRNA from 1 species